UAUCAUCGCAGAGUAAAUGCAAUAUUUGGAAUGUUUGCUGGUAAAGAAAUCUUGUUAUGUACAUUUUACAUUAAAACAGCAGACAUCUU